rnacentral:piRNA from 1 species
UGAUUUGCCAGCAGCAGAGACCAACACU